AACUGAAACCCAUGGUGGUUAGGUGAGGCAACUUCCUGCAAGUUUCCUACAACCAAGUCAGUGGGGAAGCCAGAGGGAAGUUGCAAGCCCCAGUUGAUUUACCAGCAGGCCAUACUAGGAUUAUGAUUAUGAUCAUUCAAAAUAGAUGAAGGGAUUACAGAGUCAAGAACUGCAAAUGGGAUUAAUUAGGACAAUCAGUACAAACAGUAGAAGCAGCUCAUCAUAUGCACACUUAUAAACUACCAUCACAGGAAGAUAUCAAGCCCCGCGAUCUUGAAGACUAGAAGUAGCAACCCUGCAACAUUCCAUCUGUUUCUCAUGAUGCCAACUCAAUUAGUGAUAUGAUGGAGAAGCACCUGGAGAAAUGCUCAGCCUCUGCAACAUUAAAAGAAAAUUAUUCCAUCUUGAAGUUAUUAAAUUAACAGAGCAGAAAAUAAAACAUUUUCAAACCCAAA